UACAGAGGGUGCGAGCGUUAAUCGGAAUUACUGGGCGUAAAGCGCACGUAGUCGGCUUUGCAAGUCGGUUGUGAAAUCCCCGGGCUCAACCUGGGAAUGGCGAUGGAUACUGGCGCGCUAGAGUGCGGUAGAGGAGAGUGGAAUUCCCGGUGUAGCAGUGAAAUGCGUAGAGAUCGGGAGGAACAUCAGUUGCGAAGGCGGCUCUCUGGACCAGCACUGACACUGAGGCACGAAAGCGUGGGGAGCAAACAGG
rnacentral:rRNA from 1 species